rnacentral:rRNA from 1 species
GACGUAGGGCGCGAGCGUUGUCCGGAUUUAUUGGGCGUAAAGAGCUCGUAGGCGGCUUGUUACGUCGACUGUGAAAACCCGCGGCUCAACUGUGGGCCUUGCAGUUCGAUACGGGCAGGCUAGAGUUCGGUAGGGGAGACUGGAAUUCCUGGUGUAGCGGUGAAAUGCGCAGAUAUCAGGAGGAACACCGGUGGCGAAGGCGGGUCUCUGGGCCGAUACUGACGCUGAGGAGCGAAAGCGUGGGGAGCGAACAGG